GUGGGGAAUAUUGCACAAUGGGGGAAACCCUGAUGCAGCGACGCCGCGUGAGUGAAGAAGUAUUUCGGUACGUAAAGCUCUAUCAGCAAGGAAGAAAAUGACGGUACUUGACUAAGAAGCCCCGGCUAACUACGUGCCAGCAGCCGCGGUAAUACGUAGGGGGCAAGCGUUAUCCGGAUUUACUGGGUGUAAAGGGAGCGUAGACGGUAUGGUAAGUCAGAUGUGAAAGCCCGGGGCUCAACCCCGGGACUGCAUUUGAAACUAUCAGACUAGAGUGCAGGAGAGGUAAGUGGAAUUCCUAGUGUAGCGGUGAAAUGCGUAGAUAUUAGGAGGAACACCAGUGGCGAAGGCGGCUUACUGGACUGUAACUGACGUUGAGGCUCGAAAGCGUGGGGAGCAAACAGGAUUAGAAACCCCGGUAGUCC
rnacentral:rRNA from 1 species